GAUUCCUACGGGAGGCAGCAGUGGGGAAUCUUGCGCAAUGGGCGAAAGCCUGACGCAGCAACGCCGCGUGCGGGAAGAAGGCCCUCGGGUUGUAAACCGCUUUCAGCAGGAACGAAAAUGACGGUACUUGCAGAAGAAGGUGCGGCCAACUACGUGCCAGCAGCCGCGGUGACACGUAGGCACCAAGCGUUGUCCGGAUUUAUUGGGCGUAAAGAGCUCGUAGGCGGUUCGGUAAGUCGGGUGUGAAAACUUUGGGCUUAACCCAAAGCCUGCAUCUGAUACUGCUGUGACUAGAGUUCGGUAGGGGAGCGGGGAAUUCCUAGUGUAGCGGUGAAAUGCGCAGAUAUUAGGAGGAACACCGGUGGCGAAGGCGCCGCUCUGGGCCGAUACUGACGCUGAGGAGCGAAAGCGUGGGUAGCAAACAGGAUUAGAUACCCUGGUAGUCCACGCCGUAAACGUUGGGCACUAGGUGUGGGGAGUUAUCGACGCUCUCCGUGCCGAAGCUAACGCAUUAAGUGUCCCGCCUGGGGAGUACGGUCGCAAGACUAAAACUCAAAGGAAUUGACGGGGGCCCGCACAAGCGGCGGAGCAUGUGGCUUAAUUCGACGCAACGCGAAGAACCUUACCAAGGCUUGACAUCGUAUUGACAAAUGCAGAAAUGUAUCUCCUUCGGGCAGUAUGACAGGUGGUGCAUGGCUGUCGUCAGCUCGUGUCGUGAGAUGUUGGGUUAAGUCCCGCAACGAGCGCAACCCUUGUCCCAUGUUGCCAGCAUUUAGUUGGGCACUCUUGGGAGACUGCCGGUGUAAAACUGGAGGAAGGUGGGGAUGACGUCAAGUCAUCAUGCCCUUUAUGCCUUGGGCUGCACAAUCCAUAUG
rnacentral:rRNA from 1 species